CCUUCCGGAACCUUCCACGGGUUCUGUGGGGUUCUGUGUCCGUCUGUGCGCUUCCGGAACCUUCCAGGGGUUCUGUGGGGUUCUGUGUCCUUCUGGAACCUUCCGGGGGGUUCUGUGUCCUUCUGUGCCCUUCCAGAACCUUCCGGGGGGUUCUGUGUCCUUCUGUCCCUUCCUGAACCUUCUGUGCCCCUCCUGUGUCCCUCUGUCCCCUUCCGGAACCUUCUGUGUCUUUCUGUCCUAUUCUGGAACCUUCUGUGUCCUUCUGUGCCCCUUCUGUGCCCCUUCUGUGUCCUUCUGUGCCCUUCUGGAACAUUCUGUCCCUCCUGUCCCUUCCAGAGCCUUCUGUGGCCUUUUGUCCCUUCUGUUCCUUCUGGAACCUUCUGUGUCCUUCUGUCCCCUUCCAGAACCUUCUGUGCCCCUCCUGUGUCCUUCUGUGCCCUUCUGGAACCUUCUGUGGCCUUCUGUCCAUUCCAGAACCUUCUGUCCCCUUCUGUCCCUUCUGUCCUGUCCCUUUCUGGAACCUUCCAUGGCCUUCUGUGUCCUUCUGUCCCCUUCCGGAACAUUCCGUGCCCUUCUGUCUAUUCUAUCCCUUCCUGAACCUUCUGUCCCUUUCCAGAGCCUUCUAUGGCCUUCUGUCCAUUCCAGAACCUUCUGUGCCCCUCCUGUGUCCUUCUGUCCCCUUCCAGAACAUUCCAUGGGGUUCUGUGUCCUUCUGGAACAUUCUGGGGGUUCUGUGGGGUUCUGUGCCCUUCUGUGUCCUUCUGUGCCCUUCCGGAACCUUCCGGGGGUGCUGGGGGGUGCUGUGGGGUUCUGUGCCCUUCCAGGGGUUCUGUGGGGUUGUGUGCCCUUCUGUGCCCUUCUGUGUCUUUCCUGAACCUUUCACGGGGUUCUGUGUUCUUCCGGAACCUCCCGGGGAGUUCUGUGGGGUUGUGUGUCCUUCCGGAACAUUCUGUCCCUUCUGUGUCCUUCUGUGUCCUUCCGGAACCUUCCGGGGGGUUCUGUGUCCUUCUCUCCUAUUCUGGAACCUUCCGGAGGUUCUGCGGGGUUCUGGGGGGUUCUGUGUCCGUGUGUGCCCUUCUGUGCCCUUCCGUGUCCUUCCGGAACCUUCCAGGGGUUCUGUGUCCUUCUGUCCUAUUCUGGAACCUUCUGUGUCCUUCUGUCCCUUCCUGAACCUUCUGUGCCCUUCCGGAACAUUCUGCCCCUCCUGUCCCUUCUGUCCCUUCCAGAACCUUCUGUGUCCUUCUGUCCCCUCCUUCUGUCCCUACUGUUCUGUUCCUUCUGGAACCUUCUGUGGCCCUUCUGUGUCCUUCUGUCCUUCCAGAACCUUCUGUGCCCCUCCUGUCCCUUCUGUUCCUUCUGGAACCUUCUGUGGCCUUCCGGAACAUUCUGUCCCUUCUGUGUCCUUCUGUCCCCUUCCAGAACCUUCUGUGGCCUUCCUGAGACUUUUGUGCCUUCCAGAACCUUCCAUCCCUCUGACCCUUCUGUGUCUGUCCCCUUCUGGAACCUUCUGUGGCCAUCCGUCCCUUCCAUCCUUUUUGUCCCUUCCAGAACCCUCCAGAACCUUCCAUGGCCUUCCAGUCCCUUCUGUUCCUUCUGUCCUUCCAGAACCUUCUGUGUCCUUCUGUCCUUCCAGAAACUUCUGUGUCCUUCUGUCCUUUCCAGCCCCUUCUGUCCUUUCUAGAACCUUCUGUGCCCUUCCAGUCUUUUGUGUUCCUUCCAGAACCUUCUCUCCUUUCUCUUCCUCCUCCUCCUCCCUCCCUAUUCCCGUGGAAUUUCCCGUUCCCAUUUUUCCAGCCUUGCUCCUCAUCCUUAAUUAACGAGUCACCCCUAAUUAACGACUCACCCCUAAUUAACGANGGAAUUCUACCCAAAAAUACCCCAAAAAUUUAAAAUAAAAGGGUGGAAUUCCGCCCA
ensembl:lncRNA